CAAUAGCGUAUACUAAAGUUGUUGCAGUUAAAAAGCUCGUAGUUGAAUUUCUGGUCGUGAAAAGUGGUCCGUUCCGCAAGGAAUGUGUACUGUCUAUUCAUGUCCAUCCUCGGAGUUAGUGUGUAUUACUUUAAUCGGUCGUGCAUACAAUACUUCGUCAUUUACUGUGAGCAAAAUAGAGUGUUCAAAGCAGGCUUAUGCCGUUGAAUAUAUUAGCAUGGAAUAAUAAGAUAUGACUUUGGUCUAUUUUGUUGGUUUGCACUCCAAAGUAAUGAUUAAUAGGGAUAGUUGGGGGUAUUCGUAUUCAAUUGUCAGAGGUGGAAUUCUCGGAUUUGUUAAAGACUAACUUAUGCGAAAGCAUUUGCCAAGGAUGUUUUCAUUAAUCAAGAACGAAAGUUAGGGGAUCAAAGACGAUUAGAUACCAU
rnacentral:rRNA from 1 species